AUUACCUUAAAAUUUUUUCAACUCGAUUCAAUUUGAUUUGAUCGAAUGCGGAACCUAAUGUUAAUCAUUAUGCUUAAUAUUUUGUAUGCUAACUAAUGGGUUUAGGGUGUGCAUGGCUUUUGGCUGGGUGGCCAGUUGCAAACAUGGGAAACUGGUCAAUGAUUGUUCCCACUGUUAUCAUCUAAUUUUAAUUAAAAAUGGUUUUUCUUGGGAAAAAGGGAUGGGACGGUGAGAAAGAAAAUAAAAAAAAAAAAAGGAAAGAGGGGUGAGAGCUUCAUCUUCUUCUUGUUUAGUUUAGCCACUGGAAUAGGGAGGAAAGGUUGUGAAUAGCGGCUGCAUGGGGGAAGAAAUCCUCGAUUUGGAAGCAUUUCGCUAAAGGAGGUGAAGAGGACAGUAGCAAAAAAGAAGGGAAAAGUUGGAAGCUAGGUUCGGCUUUGGGAGAAAAUUUCCUGUUAGCACACGGCCGCGUGUCACUCAUGAGCUGGUGACACUGUCACUGUGAGUUACAUUGCCUGAACACACGACCAUGUGACCCAUUUUUUGCAUAAUUACCUUAUUCUUUUGAAAAUGUUACAAUUUAAUCCUUGUUUAUUUUCGGAGCUUUCAUAAUCUAAAUUUUAAGCCCGAUUUUGUUUGCAAAACUUGAUUUAUGUGAAUGUAAGCGAUUAUUCAAUGUUUAAUUGAAUUUUGGAGUUUACAAGUCAGGAAUUUGAAGAUGCAUAUGUGACAACCA